CCUACGGGCGACAGCAGUGAGGAAUAUUGGUCAAUGGACGCAAGUCUGAACCAGCCAUGCCGCGUGCAGGAAGACGGCCCUAUGAGUUGUAAACUGCUUUUGUACGAGGGUAAACGCAGAUACGCGUAUCUGUCUGAAAGUAUCGUACGAAUAAGGCACGGCUAACUCCGUGCCAGCAGCCGCGGUAAUACGGAGGAUUCAAGCGUUAUCCGGAUUUAUUGGGUUUAACGGGUGCGUAGGCGGUCGGAUAAGUUAGAGGUGAAAUCCCGAGGCUCAACUUCGGAAUUGCCUCUGAUACUGUGCGGCUAGAGAGUAGUUGCGGUAGGCGGAAUGUAUGGUGUAGCGGUGAAAUGCUUAGAGAUCAUACAGAACACCGAUUGCGAAGGCAGCUUACCAGGCUGCAUCUGACGUUGAGGCACGAAAGCGUGGGGAGCAAACAGGAUUAGAUACCCGUGUAGUC
rnacentral:rRNA from 1 species